rnacentral:misc_RNA from 1 species
CCGAGUCUCGGGUCUCUUCGAGAUCCUACUCCAACCCUAUGUUUACAUGUCUCGUUGCCUCGGCGGGCCCGCGGGUCUCCCAAGACCCCGGUCGGUCUCCUCAGACUGAUCAGCGUCCGCCGAUGGAUUUUUUAACGCCUGUUUAACCAUCCUCUGAUGAAAACAAAAAUGAAUCA